rnacentral:misc_RNA from 1 species
GAAAUGCGAUACGUAAUGUGAAUUGCAGAAUACCGUGAAUCAUCGAAUCCUCGAACGCACAUUGCGCUCCUUUGGUCAUCCUGGGAGCAUGCCUGUUUGAGCAUCAGAUCAAAACCUCAACAACGAAUCUUCUUUGUUUCGUUUGUUGGAAUUGGACUUUUUUCUAACACGAUGUAAAAAUCGCGAAGUCUGAAAUAUAUAAUCGUAGGGCUAUUGUUGGCUCACAGUACUUGGUUAUUUGCAAUUUUUGCAAUUUUCAAACUGUACUUGGAGAUUUCAACAUUAAAAAAUUAGUCUUGCGGGAAUAUUUCUGGUGAAGUCUUAAAACCGCUUCAAGCCGGAAAAAUUUGCAAGGGUGGUGCUUUUAGGAGGCAUUAUCUUUGAACUUUGGUCUCAAAUC